rnacentral:rRNA from 1 species
UACAGAGGUCUCAAGCGUUGUUCGGAUUCAUUGGGCGUAAAGGGUGUGUAGGUGGCGCCGUAAGUCGGGUGUGAAAUUUCGGAGCUUAACUCCGAAACUGCAUUCGAUACUGCGGUGCUUGGAGGACUGGAGAGGAGACUGGAAUUCCCGGUGUAGUGGUGAAAUGCGCAGAUAUCAGGAGGAACACCCGUAGCGAAGGCGGCACUCUGGGCCGAUACUGACACUGAGGAGCGAAAGCGUGGGGAGCGAACAGG